rnacentral:lncRNA from 1 species
GUACUAUAACCGUGAUUCAAUUGAUUAUGACGAAUACAAAGUGCCGAGAAUCACGGGAGUGAUUAUGUUAAGGGGAGAUUUGGUUGGAUCUAAGUACAUUCAUAGGAGGUUGAAUGAGUGGUGAAUGAUGUACGGGGUUCUUCAAGCCGUGCAACUAUUUGGCUCAGAGAGUUGCACAUGGGGCUCCUUUGGUGCUUGAUGUCAACCAGAUGAAUGGCCUUACAACUGAUCCACAAAUGCUUGAUGUCGCUUCAAAUAACGUCAGAAGGGAGGCAUCCACCAUCUCCCAUAAUGUCAGUGAAACAAGUUAUUUCUUCUCUUUAUUUAGUUGAUUAUUUUGAAUGGGUUAUUGUGCUUAAGGCUCUUAUAUGUACUUCAUGUUGUUUUGUUAUCAAAUUUGGUUCAGUAACCAACAAUCCAUAGCCUAUCUGUUUGUUUAAAUUAGAUC